rnacentral:rRNA from 1 species
AGCUCCAAUAGCGUAUAUUAAAUUUGUUGCGUUUAAAAAGCUCGUAGUUGGAUCUCAGGUAUAGUGUGUAGGACUGGACUUUGUUCUAUGUUCCUGCACACUAGCCUUUCAUAGUCGUAUGUUGCCCUAUGGUAUCCUUCAUUGAAUGCUGUAUGGGUGCUCGGCACGUUUACCUUGAAAAAAUCAGAGUGCUCAAAGCAGGCCUUCGUGCUUGAAUAUUGUUGCAUGGAAUAAUGGAAAAGGACUUUGGUACUAUUUUGUUGGUUUCCAGUACCGAAGUAAUGAAUAACAGGGACAGACGGGGGCAUCCGUAUGGCGGUGAUAGAGGUGAAAUUCUGAGACCAUUGCCAGACGAACUACUGCGAAAGCAUUUGCCAAGUAUGUCUCCAUUAAUCAAGAA